AACGUAGGUGGCGAGCAUUAUCCGGAUUUACUGGGCGUAAAGAGCGCGCAGGCGGUCGUUCAAGUCGCGUGUGAAAGCCCCCGGCUCAACUGGGGAGGGUCACGCGAUACUGAUCGACUCGAAGGCAGGAGAGGGUAGUGGAAUUCCCGGUGUAGUGGUGAAAUGCGUAGAUAUCGGGAGGAACACCAGUGGCGAAGGCGACUACCUGGCCUGUUCUUGACGCUGAGGCGCGAAAGCUAGGGGAGCAAACGGG
rnacentral:rRNA from 1 species